UGCAGCCUUGGCCUUCCUUCCUUUAGUUCAAAACUUUCGGUUCUGUGCAUUUUAUAUGGCUUCCCCGUCAAAUCUGCUCUUGGUUGUUUGCUAUAUCUUUGCAGAGGGUAACUCACUAACUUGAACAGGCUCAUUGCUGCAUUGGUAGCACUUUUAGUAUCUGGAGUGUAUAAUAUAGAUUCAUUUUAGUUGCAUCGGUACCUGAUGUCUAUGAGAGUGAAAGCAACGACAGGGCUGCCAUCCUUAAUCUUACUUUUGUCUCCUAUUCUUCCAUGCAGCCUCCCCUAAUAAUCUGUUGCGUUGUUUAAAAGGGAGUUUUAUGACUAAUUUUCGUAGUUUUUGACUGGGAUAGUGUAAACUGUGAAAGGCAAAUAGUAAAUUGAGUAA